CGCAGCCUGAUCUAGCCAUGCCGCGUGUGUGAUGAAGGUCUUAGGAUCGUAAAGCACUUUCGCCAGGGAUGAUAAUGACAGUACCUGGUAAAGAAACCCCGGCUAACUCCGUGCCAGCAGCCGCGGUAAUACGGAGGGGGUUAGCGUUGUUCGGAAUUACUGGGCGUAAAGCGUACGUAGGCGGAUUGGAAAGUUGGGGGUGAAAUCCCAGGGCUCAACCCUGGAACUGCCUCCAAAACUAUCAGUCUAGAGUUCGAGAGAGGUGAGUGGAAUUCCAAGUGUAGAGGUGAAAUUCGUAGAUAUUUGGAGGAACACCAGUGGCGAAGGCGGCUCACUGGCUCGAUACUGACGCUGAGGUACGAAAGUGUGGGGAGCAAACAGGAUUAGAUACCCUGGUAGUCCACACCGUAAACGAUGAAUGCCAGUCGUCGGGCAGUAUACUGUUCGGUGACACACCUAACGGAUUAAGCAUUCCGCCUGGGGAGUACGGUCGCAAGAUUAAAACUCAAA
rnacentral:rRNA from 1 species